rnacentral:rRNA from 1 species
GAUGAACGCUGGCGGCAUGCCUAAGACAUGCAAGUCGAACGAGAUGGCCCAGUGAAGGUUGAGUGCUUGCACGAGACUGAAUCUGGAUUCCCAUCUAGUGGCAGACGGGUGAGUAACACGUGGGUGACCUACCUUUUCGUUGGGGAUAACAGUUGGAAACGAUUGCUAAUACCGAAUAAAAUGUAAGAGUCAAUUUUACAUUGAAAGGAGCCUUUAAAGCUUCGCGAUUAGAUGGGCCUGCGGCGUAUUAACUAGUUGGUGAGGUAAUGGCUUACCAAGGUGACGAUGCGUAGCCGAACUGAGAGGUUGAUCGGCCACAUUGGGACUGAGACACGGCCCAAAACUCCUAACGGGAGACAGCAGUUAGGAAUAUCGUCAAUGGAGGAAACUCUGAACGAGCAAUGCCGACGUGAGUGAUGAAGGUCUUAUAGAUUGUAAAACUCUAGUUGUAUGG